GUACACUCCUACGGGAGGCAGCAGUGGGGAAUAUUGCACAAUGGGCGCAAGCCUGAUGCAGCCAUGCCGCGUGUAUGAAGAAGGCCUUCGGGUUGUAAAGUACUUUCAGCGGGGAGGAAGGCGAUAAGGUUAAUAACCUUGUUGAUUGACGUUACCCGCAGAAGAAGCACCGGCUAACUCCGUGCCAGCAGCCGCGGUAAUACGGAGGGUGCAAGCGUUAAUCGGAAUUACUGGGCGUAAAGCGCACGCAGGCGGUCUGUCAAGUCGGAUGUGAAAUCCCCGGGCUCAACCUGGGAACUGCAUUCGAAACUGGCAGGCUAGAGUCUUGUAGAGGGGGGUAGGAUUCCAGGUGUAGCGGUGAAAUGCGUAGAGAUCUGGAGGAAUACCGGUGGCGAAGGCGGCCCCCUGGACAAAGACUGACGCUCAGGUGCGAAAGCGUGGGGAGCAAACAGGAUUAGAUACCCCGGUAGUCCC
rnacentral:rRNA from 1 species